UAGCAUAUCNAUNAGCGGAGGAAAAGAAANCCAACAGGGAUUGCCUCAGUAACGGCGAGUGAAAGCGGCAACAGCUCAAAUUUGAAAUCUGGCUCCGUCGGGGUCCGAGUUGUAAUUUGCAGAGAGAGCUUCGGGCUGGACCGCGGUCUAAGUCCAUUGGAACAUGGCGUCAUAGAGGGUGAGAAUCCCGUACGCGACCGUGCGCCGAGCCCGUGCGAAGCCUUUUCGACGAGUCGAGUUGUUUGGGAAUGCAGCUCCAAAUGGGUGGUAAACUUCAUCUAAAGCUAAAUACGGGCUGGAGACCGAUAGCGCACAAGUAGAGUGAUCGAAAGAUGAAAAGCACUUUGAAAAGAGGGUCAAACAGUACGUGAAAUUGUUGAAAGGGAAGCGCUUGCAACCAGAGCUGCCCGCGGGCGAUCAGCCGUCGUUCUNGGCGGUGCACUCGCCUCGCGAUCAGGCCAGCAUCGGUUCCGGCGGUCGGAUAAAGGCCUUGGGAACGUAGCCCUCCUCUCGGGGGGGGGUCCUUAUAGCCCUCGGCGCCAUACGUCCCGCCGGGACCGAGGACCGCGCCUCGGCAAGGGUGCUGGCGUAAUGGUUGCAAGCGACCCGUCUUGAAACACGGACCAAGGAGUCUAACAUCUAUGCGAGUGUUUGGGCGUCAAACCCCGGCGCGAAAUGAAAGUGAACGGAGGUGAGACCCCCGCAAGGGGCGCAUCAUCGACCGAUCCAGAUGUCUUCGGAUGGAUUUGAGUAUGAGCAUAGCCGUUGGGACCCGAAAGGUAGUUACAACCUCGCUGUAUUGUGGUUGGAACGGGAGCUAAUAAACUUGAGCAGAUGGUGAACUAUGCCUGAAUAGGGUGAAGCCAGAGGAAACUCUGGUGGAGGCUCGCAGCGGUUCUGACGUGCAAAUCGAUCGUCAAAUUUGGGUAUAGG
rnacentral:rRNA from 1 species